rnacentral:lncRNA from 1 species
GACCUUGGGGCGCUCAUCGGGGCCUCUGCCCCUGCAAUAACCCCACCUCCCAAAGCAAUGACACCUAUUUCUCUUCCUCUUUCAGGAUCCACAGGGUCCCCUGACAGGUGUUGGGGACCUGGGUCCUCCUGGAGAGAAGGUAAUUGGGAAAGGGGUAAAGGGGAUGAAAGGACCAGUCUUGUGCAUGAGGAAUGAGAGUUGGAUUUCUGCCAAUUUUUGUUGAGGAGACAAAAGAGAAUAAACCGUGGAGAAUACCAGGAUUUUGUGAGGGGGAAAUGAAGUUUUUGACCCCAAUCUCUUUGCUACUGGAGCCAGGAGAGACAGGAUCUCCAGGAAUCCAGGGUGAGCCAGGUGUCAGGGUCUUGGUUUUCCUGGAGACCCUGGCCUCCCGGAAGAAGGUAGUUCAUGAUCAGGACAGUGUUAAGGGUGACUACGGCAAGGAUGGUGAGCCAAGACAGCCUGUGAGUGACCAAUGACCCUGCCACCCCCAUUGAGCUCCAGCCUUCAGUCCAUUACCCCUCUCUUCUGUGCCCCACUCCUGAGGGGUCCCUUGGCUGGAGGCCAACACUCACCCACCCCCAAUUCCUCUUGUUCUGUGGAUCCUCUGGUCCCACUGGGGAGAAUGGACUACCUGGACCACAUGGAAAGUAGAAGACCCUGGGACCUUGGGAAGCAGUCCCUGGGAAAUGGUCAGCUAGGGAUAGUCAUGACUCUAACCAAGAGUCAUUUAGGACACAGGAAGAUACCGAAUGAGGAAACUCUCCCCAGUCCUGAACUCAUCCACAAAUUAGAAUACAUAGGUCCAGCCCAGGUGCAGUGGCUGAAGCCUGCAAUCCUCCCGCUUCCUGCUUCGGGAGACCAAGGCAAGAGGAUCUCUUAAAGUGUGAGUUGGAGGCCAGCUUGGGUGACACAACCAGGAAAAGCAAGUGACCACCAGGUGGCACCGGAGACCCGGAGAGCUGGGCCCAAGUUCCCUGGGAGGGAUCUGCACCCAGCCUGGGAUGGCGCAUGGGUACCUCACGGGACACCCGGCCUCAUCCUGGUAGCCCCGUGCUUGCAUUUCCUGGCCCUGGGGUGUCCUCGCUGACCGCACAUGUGUGUAGAAACCAUUCCUCAUCUCCCAAGAGGGAUUUGGAACAAUUCUCACCUGACCUAAUGAGGGAUGGCACCCAGGCUCAGGGUCCCCUUUUUGUCCUCAGAGCAUGACUAGGCCCGUGGCUGUUGCUCAUUGUCCAAGAGCAUGGGAGGUUGCCUGUGGCGAGGCCCUAGAGGACCCUCCUGUGCUACCUGGGACCAGGAGGCCCAGCUGCCUUCUCCUAGUACCUCUCACGUCUAGGGGACUGUGCAGGAAAUGGGUGCAGAGGCCAUUGCGGUGGCUGCUCCUGGGGUCCCAGCAGCUCUGGCCAAGGCGGGAGGAGCCGGGGAGCCCAGGAGGCUGAGGCCCCUGUCCUACCACUCUGGUCAUGCUGCAGUCUCUGUCACCACCACAAACUGCAGUGAGGUGAGCCACUGGGCUGCAGGCUCUAGCCUCCAGUGUGUGACAGGUGCCUCCCCUUUCUGACUCCUCCUGUAGCGGGACACAGAGAAGCUCUGCUCAUGGCCGCCUCCUACCACUCUGACCACUCUGCAGUCUUGGUGGCCACCACUAACCACAGGGAGCCUGGCCAGGGGCUGCAAGUUGCAGCCUCCACCCACUCCUCUAAGUCAGGCAUGGAGCAACAGUGAAGCAGUGGCAGAAGAGGCUGGAAUGGCAGAACACACCCUCAACGUGCAUUAUAUAUAGAGGUUACAGAAAUGAGGUCCUGGACUUUGUGUUCUGAUUGGAUGGGGGAAAACCUCUAGGCCUACUCUGAUUGGACUUUAUCUUCAUAUCCUGAUUGGUUAUCCUAAGAGUUGCUCUCAUCUAAUCUUCUUUAUAAGUGGUCAUCUUUGUAAGUUCAUGCCCAUUGGGAGUUAGUGAAGUUGUGAAUGAUUACAUUUAAACUUAUCCUGUAAUUUUAGUCUGACUUAUUAAUUCCACCUAUCUGCUUAAGCAAAUUAUUCUCUAUAAUGAUGACCCAAGCAAAUUCCUGUCCCAAGAUGGUAUCAAGAUGAUACCCCAAGUUCCUCUCCAGAAUGGUAUCUGGAUAUAUGUGGAGGGAAAUAUUUUUUCUAGGCCUGUAUUAAAUAUGGCACUAAAGCUUAGUGGCUUAAAACAAUACACUCUUAUUAUCUCACAGCUUCUGUGAAUAAGUAGUUCAGGAGAAUGUAGUUGGGUGAUUCGUCCAAGAGUCUCAAAAGGUUGCAGUCAAUCUGUUGGUGAGAAUUGUAGUUACUUGAAGACUUGGCUAGAGUUAAAGAAUUUGUAUCAAAGAUGGCUUAUUCAUGGCCAUUGGAUGGAAGCCUCAGUUUCAGAAUGGCUCUUGGAAAUAGGUCUUUUUACUUGCCACGUAGACCUCUCCAUAGGCUGACUGAAUGUCCUCCAAUGUGUCAUCUGGCUUUCUCCAGUGCAAAAGAUCCAAGAAGAGAGUAUGAAGGAACACGUAAUGCUCUUUAUAAUUUUGUCACAGACCGUCACUUUUGCCAUACUGUAUUGUUUGGAAGUUAGUCACUAAGUCUAGCCCACACUCAAAAGAAUGAGAAUUAACCUCCACCUUUGGAAGAGAGUCUACUCAAAGCACUUGUGGACAUGUUUUGAAACCACAAAGGGGUAUGUCUGCCGGUCUCCAAGAUGGCCCCCAGUGAUUCUCAUCAACUAUUAUUAAUACUUUCGUAUAGUCCCUUCCCACAAGAAAAAAGGGUUGAUCUGUUUAAUUAGUAUGAUUUUGUUGAAAUGACAGAGUCUGACUUCCAAGUUUAGGUCAUAAGAAGAAUUUUGACUUCUGCCUUGUUCUCUGUUGGAUCAAUAUCCCUAGGGGAAGCUAGAUGCAAUGUCAUGAAACCAUUCAAACAGUCCCAUGGAACAAUCCAUCUAGCAAGGAACUGAUGUCUCCUAGCAAUAGCUGGCAUUAACUUACAGGCCGUAUGAGUGGGUCAUCUUAGAGUUGGAUUCUUCAGUCCAAAUCAAGUCUUCAGAUAACUGUAGCCCUGGCUGACAUCUUGAUUACAUCCUCAAGAGAGACCCUGAGCCACAAUCACUCAGUUAAGCCACCGAGUUCUUUUUGCCAAGAACUUUUUUUUUACCAAGUUCUUUUUGCCACCAACUUUAUUGAGGUAUAAUUGACAGUUACAAUUGUAUAUAUUUAAGGAAUACAACUUGAUGAUUUGAUAUACGCAUACAUUGUGAAAUAAUCGUGACAAUUAGGUUAACAUAUUCAUUACUUCACAUAAUUACCAUUUUCGUGCGUGUGUGUGUGUGUGUGUAGUGAAAACACUUAAGAUCUAUCCUCCUAGCAAAUUUCAAGUGUACAAUAUACUGUUGUUAACUACGGUCAUAUUAUUGUAUACUAUGUCUCCAGAAGUUAUCCACCUUGUGUAACUGAGAUGCUGUACCCUUGACCAAUGUCUCCCCAUUUUCUUCUCCCUCCAGCCCCUGGUAACUACCCUUCUACUUUCCAGUUCUAUAAAUUUAGAUUCCAUAUAUAAGUCAAAUUUUUGACCCUUGGAAGCUGGAU